AUUGAACGCUGGCGGCAGGCCUAACACAUGCAAGUCGAGCGAGCGGCGGACGGGUGAGUUAUGUCUGGGAAACUGCCUGAUGGAGGGGGAUAUAUACUGGACACGGUCGCUAAUACCGCAUACCAUCAGAUGUGCCCAGAUGGGAUUCGCUAGUAGGUGGGGUAAUGGCUCCCCUAGGCGACGAUCCCUAGCUGGUCUGAGAGGAUGAACAGCCACACUGGAAAUGAGACACGGUCCAGACUCCGACGGGAGGCAGCAGUGGGGAAUAUUGCACAAUGGGCGCAAGCCUGAUGCAGCCAUGCCGCGUGUGUGAACAAGGCCUUCGGGUUGUAAAGCACUUUCAGCGGGGAGGCGUUACUCGCAGAAGAAGCACCGGCUAACUCCGUGCCAGCAGCCGCGGUAAUUC
rnacentral:rRNA from 1 species